UACAAUGGGCAGAACAAAGGGCAGGAAACCGCGAGGUUAAGCCAAUCCCACAAAUCUGUUCUCAGUUCGGAUCGCAGUCUGCAACUCGACUGCGUGAAGCUGGAAUCGCUAGUAAUCGCGGAUCAGCAUGCCGCGGUGAAUACGUUCCCGGGCCUUGUACACACCGCCCGUCACACCACGAGAGUUUGUAACACCCGAAGUCGGUGAGGUAACCUUUUUGGAGCCAGCCGCCGAAGGUGGGACAGAUGAUUGGGGUGAAGUCGUAACAAGGUAGCCUGUU
rnacentral:rRNA from 1 species